ACAUGCCUACAGCAUAGCAUUAAUGCACCAGAUCCCAUUAGAACUUCACAGUUAAGCAUGCUCAUGCUAGAGUAGUACUAGGAUGGGUGACCGUCCGGGAAGUCCUAGUGUUUUACAUGCC
rfam:Picea glauca, whole genome shotgun sequence.